GCUUUCAGCAAGAAAAAGGGCUUUAAGGAAAAAGAGCUUUAAAAAAGCUUUUCCGUAAGAUAAUGCCGGGGAAGGUUUUCCGGUUUAUCCCGGAGGGCUUGUAGCUCAGUUGGUUAGAGCGCGCGCUUGAUAAGCGUGAGGUCGGAGGUUCAAGUCCUCCCAGGCCCACCAUUUUGUAUCAAUCUAUAAGCGCUUGUAGAACUUUUUUCUAUAAGGCUUUCUUUUAUACUUAUAUGAAGCUUAUCUACGAAGAAGUUUCCUUAUCAAAAUAUGAAGUUUCUUUCCUUUGCUUAAGCAAUCGGGAGUUAAAGCGGUUCAAACAAAAAGCGGUUCAAACAAACAGUGAUCCCAUAAAGGGUAAUGUUGAAUUGAAAAAUCUUAUUUACAAAUUUUGAACCUUUUCUCUUUAUUUAGGGGCCGUAGCUCAGCUGGGAGAGCACCUGCUUUGCAAGCAGGGGGUCGUCGGUUCGAUCCCGUCCGGCUCCACCAUUUAGGUCAUCAUCAUUGUUGUGAGAACACUCUUUAGUGAGAGGUUAAGUGACCUUUCGCUUGUUCUAUUGAAAUUGUGAAGAGAAGAUAUAUUCAGACAUGUUCCUUUUGAAAUGUUUGUUUUAAAGAGCGAAAUUCGUUUUUUAAAAGACAGAUAUUCAAAAAUUUUGUCUACAGACUAAAAGUUUGUAGACGGAUUGAGAAUCUGUAGACAAACUUUGAAAAAAGAAUCUUGUGUCGCAAGGGAAUGCUCAAAGCCCUUGCAUAUGAU
rnacentral:tRNA from 1 species